ACGGGUGAGUAACACGUGGGAAUCUGCCUAUUGGUUCGGAACAACGUCUGGAAACGGACGCUAAUACCGGAUAAGCCCCGAGGGGGAAAGAUUUAUCGCCGAUAGAGGAGCCCGCGUCCGAUUAGGUAGUUGGUGGGGUAACGGCCUACCAAGCCGACGAUCGGUAGCUGGUCUGAGAGGAUGAUCAGCCACACUGGGACUGAGACACGGCCCAGACUCCUACGGGAGGCAGCAGUGGGGAAUAUUGGACAAUGGGGGCAACCCUGAUCCAGCAAUGCCGCGUGAGUGAUGAAGGCCUUAGGGUUGUAAAGCUCUUUCGCACGUGACGAUGAUGACGGUAACGUGAGAAGAAGCCCCGGCUAACUUCGUGCCAGCAGCCGCGGUAAUACGAAGGGGGCUAGCGUUGUUCGGAAUUACUGGGCGUAAAGGGCGCGUAGGCGGUCCUAUCAGUCAGGCGUGAAAGCCCCGGGCUCAACCUGGGAACUGCGCUUGAUACUGUAGGGCUAGAGUUCCGGAGAGGAUGGUGGAAUUCCCAGU
rnacentral:rRNA from 1 species